UACGUAGGGGGCAAGCGUUGUCCGGAUUUAUUGGGCGUAAAGAGCGUGUAGGCGGCUUUACAGGUCCGUUGUGAAAACUCGAGGCUCAACCUCGAGACGCCGGUGGAAACCGUAAGGCUAGAGUCCGGAAGAGGAGAGUGGAAUUCCUGGUGUAGCGGUGAAAUGCGCAGAUAUCAGGAAGAACACCCGUGGCGAAGGCGGCUCUCUGGGGCGGUACUGACGCUGAGACGCGAAAGCGUGGGGAGCGAACAGG
rnacentral:rRNA from 1 species